UACAGAGGGUGCAAUCGUUAAUCGGAAUUACUGGGCGUAAAGGGCGCGUAGGCGGCCUGCUAAGUCGAACGUGAAAUCCCUGGGCUCAACCCAGGAACUGCGUCCGAUACUGGUUGGCUUGAAUCCGGGAGAGGGAUGUGGAAUUCCAGGUGUAGCGGUGAAAUGCGUAGAUAUCUGGAGGAACACCGGUGGCGAAGGCGACAUCCUGGACCGGUAUUGACGCUGAGGCGCGAAAGCCAGGGGAGCAAACGGG
rnacentral:rRNA from 1 species